GACGAACGCUGGCGGCGUGCCUAAUACAUGCAAGUUGAGCGCUGAAGGUUGGUACUUGUACCAACUGGAUGAGCAGCGAACGGGUGAGUAACGCGUGGGGAAUCUGCCUUUGAGCGGGGGACAACAUUUGGAAACGAAUGCUAAUACCGCAUAAAAACUUUAAACACAAGUUUUAAGUUUGAAAGGUGCAAUUGCAUCACUCAAAGAUGAUCCCGCGUUGUAUUAGCUAGUUGGUGAGGUAAAGGCUCACCAAGGCGAUGAUACAUAGCCGACCUGAGAGGGUGAUCGGCCACAUUGGGACUGAGACACGGCCCAAACUCCUACGGGAGGCAGCAGUAGGGAAUCUUCGGCAAUGGACGAAAGUCUGACCGAGCAACGCCGCGUGAGUGAAGAAGGUUUUCGGAUCGUAAAACUCUGUUGGUAGAGAAGAACGUUGGUGAGGGUGGAAAGCUCAUCAAGUGACGGUAACUACCCAGAAAGGGACGGCUAACUACGUG
rnacentral:rRNA from 1 species